rnacentral:lncRNA from 1 species
CUGGCCACGCCAAUGAGCACAGUUUCUGCAGGAUCUACUAUCCUUGUUGCUGCAACAAUGGUGAAUGAAUGGAAAGAAUGAAAAGCACUUGAUUAACAGAGGAAGAAGAAGAAGAUUAGAGAAAAAUAGAAUCAGUUUUAUUCAUCCUCUAUGGGGAAAAAGUAGUUGGAUUACAAUCACUAAUCAUGAGCCAUUUAUUUAUACUACUAGAUCAUCACAUUAGUUGAUGAUUCUCUUAGGCCCUAACCAACUAACAACUUCCUAACUGACUCUAACACACUCUAACAACCUAGGUGAAUCAAAA